GGAGGAGCACAACUAUCUUGCAAAGAAAUGCAGCCGCAAAAAAAAAAAAAAAUUUGGAUCUCAAUUUCACACUAGCUGUUCAAAACUUACGUCACACAAUACCCCCACUGUUUCUCUCCACUAGCAGGCACCCUACAUGUCAAAUACAUAACGGCCUAAAUCAAACUUUAGAUUAAGGAAAAGAAAUUGAAGACAAAGGAUGUCUGACCAUUUGAUUUAUUGAAUCAUUUGAGAGAACAAGGACAAAACAAAUGAGCAGGAGUCACUUUACAGUCGCCCCAUACACAGCCUAUAUUAACAUUAGGAGGCAAUCUUUUUCAAAGCCACAUGGAAGACAUAACCCACCUAAUUCUACUGUCCUCGGUCCUCAAUUUCGUGGGAAAGAUUUCCUAUCAGAUUCUGAAAAAUCCACAAAUUUAAGUGCGAAUGGGUCUUUUUCAUAAUGCAUAUAACUGGGUGGUUUAUAGUAUUGGGGUGGCUCUUUGGGAGGCUGGUUGGCAGAAGGUUUGCAUUCAGCUGCUGCAGUUGUAGUACAGGGUUGAGGAGUGGUGGUUAUAGGUGGUGCGGUAGGGGUUUUCUGAGGUUGCACUGGGUAUUGUGGAUAAAAUUGCUGCAAAUAAUCUGGGAAAUUUGGGUAAUGGCUAUGCUGAGGGAAUAGACUUCCAGGGUACACUGGGGGUUGCGGUUUCUGGUUUAUUGCUGGCGAAUCUGGUGGGAGAGGAGUGGGGAUGGCUGGAGCUGGUUUCACAGUAGUAUUUGGUUUGCCAUGAUAGUCACUGUAGUAAUAUGGCCACAUAUGGGGUUGCCUUGGAAACUGAGGUUUCUGGGUUGGCACUUGGCCAUCUGAUGGAGAUUGCCCUGCUGGCUUAGCUGUGGGAUAUGGCCACAUCAUAUGGGGGUACUUCGGAAACUGAGGUUUCUGGGUUGGCACUUGACCAUCUGAUGGAGAUUGCCCUGCUGGCUCAGCUGUGGGAUAACCCUUGCCAGGAUAACGGGAGUAGGGAUAUGGCCACAUCAUAUGGGGGUACUUCGGAAACUGAGGUUUCUGGGUUGGCACUUGGGCAUCUGAUGGAGAUUGCCCUGCUGGCUCAGCUGUGGGAUAACCCUUGCCAGAAUAUUGGUAACGAGGGUAGUUGUAAGGCCAAAACCCUUGCUGAAACUCUUCAGGGUAGCCGUAAAAUGGCGGUUUGAGAGCUGCAGAUAGUUCUGGCAUUGUACUUAUUUGUAGAUUAAAUUCAUCAGGAUAAAGGGGAGGCAGCAGAAUCUGCUGAUAUGAAGGAUCAUGAGGUCCUAGAAAAGUGUCGUUUGCAGUUGUAGAGGUCAUAGGACAAGAAAUGACUGCACGGUUUCCCUGCCAUUGCAUCUGCAUCACAUAACUCCCUCCCUGAAAGACAUGAACAUUCAGGUUGGUCUUCCUAACUCUGUGUACAUACUAAAUGGAACAGAGAAAGUAAUACCUGUUGUGCAACGCCACAUCCAUCAUAGGGGGUAGCAUAGAUAAGACCACCAUAAGUGGGUAUGGUAGAUCCACAGUUAGGCGGCAACUCACUGAGGGGAACAGCUGCCCCAUUACC
ensembl:lncRNA